GGGAGGCAGCAGUGAGGAAUAUUGGGCAAUGGAGGCAACUCUGACCCAGCCAUGCCGCGUGCAGGAAGACUGCCCUAUGGGUUGUAAACUGCUUUUAUACAGGAAGAAACACACCUACGUGUAGGUGCUUGACGGUACUGUAAGAAUAAGCACCGGCUAACUCCGUGCCAGCAGCCGCGGUAAU
rnacentral:rRNA from 1 species